rnacentral:tRNA from 1 species
GGUGCCAUGGCUUAGUUGGUUAAAGCGCCUGUCUAAUAAACAGGAGAUCCUGAGAUCGACUCUCAGUGGUGCCU